rnacentral:lncRNA from 1 species
GGUUUGUCCAGAUGUCCGCCACUUGGAGGACGUGGUAGUGUUCUUCUGCAAGCAUGCUUUUCACAGCAACUGCCUACCCAGUCUACCGAUGUGCAGCCUCUGCAGUGCCGACAAACAAGCGCAAAGCCUGGGAGCCUGAAGAGCAACGCUUGGCUGAUGCGGUCAAAUCACGAUACUCUACAAGGAAGCUUUGCCGCUGACUCUGUAAAGUUUGUGCACACCAAAGGAAACGGGCAUGUUGGGGGGAAAGGGUUGUUCAAUAAAUAGAGUUGCCGUCCAUA